rnacentral:lncRNA from 1 species
GUAAAAGGGGACGCGGAGGAGAAGGAAAGUCGCUCAAGCAGUGGACAGAGCGGAGAAAGCGACUUCGGGUUGGUUGAAGGGUGGGCGGAUCUCUUUAUUUCUGGGUGUAGGGGUGGGGCUUCUCUGUGUUUUCUGUCCUUUGCUCCUGGGCGGUGGGUAUUUGGAAAUUCUUGCAGGGAAGGGCAUGGGCAGCCUUACUCAGACCGAUUUUUUCCCCCUACAUCUUAGCACCUCGUUUUGCCUUUAUUUUAUGUUAAUAAUUGUCAAGGGUAAUGAAUGUAGUUAAACAUGCUGUGACAUUUCCACCACGAACCCAAACAAAUAUGUUGUAACCCAGUGUAGGAAACGAGAUGCCCAGAAAAACAAAUGAAACCAACCACACUGUGUUUCAGGGAUUGCUCGGUAGCAUUUUUUAAUGUAAAAGAACUUCAUUUAAGGAUGUGACUUGACAAGACUUUGUGAAUAUUUGGGUUUUCGUUUUGUAGAAUGGGAUUAAAGACAGUUCAUAUUCUGAACAUGGAAUGUCAAGAUCCUACAACUGAAAAGGGCUAUUUAAAAGUUUUCCUCCUCACCCAAAAUAAAAAGUAGGGCUGGAUUUUGCCCUUACGUGGACAUCAGUUUCAUACAUCCCUACAUAAAUGCUUGAGAAGAAAAAAAUAAUGGAGACAAUAAUGGAAUUUUACAAUGCAACGUUUGCAUGAUCAAAAUAAGUUUGGAGUUACUUCCCACUCAGAAUUUACAGUGUUAAAUAUCCGUUUACAUUGCAAUGCAAUUCUGCUUUGAUGAGUUUGUUAGUUAUUAAACAAAUAUGCAAAAUUUUUGGGUUUGUUUUCCUCAUCUGUAAAAGCAGUUUGCAUUUGAUAAUCCAAGAGCUCUUCUAGCGCUAAGGUUUUUGUGAUGUAAUUUAUUGUCAACACAUGAUUUAAGGUGACAUCCAGCACUAAGACACUAGCAUUAAGUUUAUAACUUCCUCUUUUGCCUCUCUUUUAUCUGGUUUUUACCCAACAAUUACAAAAUAAAUAAUCAAGUGAGGCAUAAGACCUUGGGACCAAAUUGGCAUCAACAAGCUAGAAUGCUAUCUGGAAAAAUUUAUUAUGCAUAUUUUUGGUAUGUACAAACUGUGUAAUGCAGUUUCUGGAGGAAUAGAUUUACAGUAGACUCUAAUUAGCUUUGAGACUUUACAAAACCCAGACUCAGGAAAUUGGGAGUAGCAACACAGCAAGACAUUUUGUUGAGCUGGAGAUAGCUCUUUUUUUGGUGGCAGAUCAAACUGGAGGUAACCUGGCUCUGUCACUUACUAAUACUGUGACUUGGAAAAGUUAUUUCUGAUUGAGUUUCUUCCUCAUUUGUAAAAUGAAGGUAAUGAUAACUACCUUGCCGAGUUUUUGUGAACGUAGAGAUUAUGCACAUAUUGUGUUCUGCUUAUGGUCAUCACUCAGUGUGGGGCUAUUAUUAUGAGGGAAGCCAGAGUGCAAAUUGGAGUGUAGAAGCCUUCCUCAUUCUCAUGAUACCUCACUCAUGAAUCUUAAGUCUGGUUGCCUCUUACCUACCUGCCAAGAUCCUAGAAACAGCCUUGAAAAGUAAUCUUUUUAAAUGUCCACUGACUGAUGAAUGGAUAAUCAUUCCUCAUUUCUUCUAGCUUCUGGUGACUGCCAGCAUUCCUUGACUUGUGACUGAAUCACUGCAGUCUUGUAAGCCAGCAUCUUGAAAUCUCACUCUGCUCCAACUUUUCCAUCUUCACAUUGUCCUUCUCUUCUGUUUGUAAAAUCUCCUUCUGGUUUCCUCUUAAAGGAUAUAUGUAAUUGCAUUUACCAGCUACCCAGAUAAUCCAGGAUAAUCUCCCCUUCUUAAGAUCCUUAACUUAAUCAUAGUUUCCAACACUUUGCCAUAUAAGGUAACAUUCACAGGUUCCAAGUAUUAGGACCUGAAAUCUUUGGAACACAUUAUUUAGUUUACUAUAGAAAGUAAUAAAAGACAAAAGAGGGGGUAGGGACAAAAGAAUGAGAAAGGACUCAAGCACAUCUUCUUAGUUUCUCAUCCCAAAUUUUUAAAUCAGGUAAGUCACUUCUCCUUGGGAAGAAAUAAGUGAGAGUUGAGAGCGGUAGCUAAGAGUGUUCUUGCACUGUGGCUUUCAAACAUUUUUUGACUGUCAUCCUUAGUAAGAAAUAUAUUUUACACUGUGACCCAAGGAGCAAAUACAUACUUGCACGCACAGAUAUACAUAGUAGAUUUAUUUAUGAGAUAAUACUUAUCCUUACUUCAUGAAAUGCAUGCUGGUCUUUUCUGUUUCUUAAAAAAAUAAGUGCUAGAAAACCUACUAAACUCACAGCCCACUAAUUGAUCAUCACCUAAAGUUUGGAAAUUAUCACUGCAAAAAUCCACACUUGGAACUAUAAUGCCAGGCAAAUAAGGGGUUCCCCCACCAACUAAAAGCCAUACGCCAGACAUUGUACUAAAUGCUUUACAUAGAUUGUUUCAUUUCACCCUGUGAAAGUAACAUUUACUUCACUAUAUUGCUAUAUUGCUUUGCUAUAUUGCUGGAUGUAUUUUGCUUUUCCCCAGAUCCUCUCUCUACCUUUUUUUCCUGCUCUGUGCUCCAGAGGAACAGAAAGGUUAGGAGGGUGACCUUAAUGAACUGUAUCCAUGAGCAGCUCUCUCGUUUUCUGGCUUAGGGUUCAUUUAGGUCUGUGAUCAGGAGAUCAGAAGGCAGGAGGAAAGUGAAUUCAUGGUUUUUAUUUCUACCUCUCACUUUCUGGUGAUUGUUGUAAGCUGACUGAAUUGGUCUGCUGAAGAAUACAGCUCCUGUUGUGUGCAAGUGUUCUGGUCAUUACUCCUUCCUGUUGCUCCUUCACAUUUAAGUAUAGUCAUGCCUUUGCUACUGGCCCCUGCUUGCUAGGCACAGGGCACUGGAACAUUUUGUGCCAGUUUCCCUUAAUCCUGUCCACAUCUUUGUAAACAGUCCUCUUAUUAAACUCUCCAUUUGGCCGUGGUGUGAAUGUUUGUCUUCCCCCAAAUUAAUAUGUUCAAAGCUAAUAACCAAUGCGAUGGUAUAAGGAGAUGGGGCCUUUGGGAAGUGAUUAGAUCAUAAUGGUAGAGCCCUUGUGAAUCAGAUUAGCGCCUUCAUAAAGAGGCACGAGAGAGACCCUCACCCCUUCCACCCUGUGAGAACACAGUGAGAAGGAACUGUCUGUGAAACAGAAAGGGCCCUUACCAGACACACAUGCUGCCUUUGUCUUGGACUUAAGGGUGAAAAGAUGGCUGUCUAUGAAGAAAUGGGCCCUCAUCAGACACCAAAUCAGUUAGGACCUCACUCAAACUUCCCAGCUUUCCAGAACGCUGAGAAACAAAUUUCUGUUUUUAUAAGCUGCCAGUUUAUGGUAUUUUGUUAUAGCGGCCCAGACUAAGGCAGUGUACCAUCUGUUUCCAACAUGAAUAGUGACUAUUAUUUUUAUGCUAUUUUUUUUUUUUGAGUCAAAGUCUUGCUCUGUUCCCCAGGCUGAAGUGCAGUGGCAUGAUCAUGGCUCACUGCAGCCUCUAACUCCUGGCAUCAAGUGAUCCUCCCUUCUUAGCUUCCCAAGUUACUGGGACUACAGGCAUGAGCCACUGAGCCCAGUUUGAUGAUGACUUUAAUAAGAGGCCGUUGCAAUAAUUCAAAUGAAAAAUGAUAGUAGCAGUGGUGGUAGAGUGAAGUGGCUGGACUCCUGCUUAUAUAUUUAAGGUAUAGCUGAAAAAAUUUGCUGAUGGAUGAGGUAUAGUGUGUGAGAGAAAGAAAAGUCAAGAGUGACUCCAAAGCUUGAGGCUUUAGCAGCUGGAAGGAUGGAUUUGCCGCUGAAUGGAACUAGAAAAACUUCAGGAAGAGCAAGCAGGAAGUGGAAGGCUUUUGCCAUGUUAAGUUUGAAAUGCCAAUGAGAUAUCCAAGUAGUGCUGUCCAAUAGGCAGUUGGACAUACAACUCUGGUGUCAAAAGAGAGGUUUGGGAGUCAUCAGCCCAUGGAACAGGUAAAGUCAUCUUUGCAUGAGUGGAG